rnacentral:rRNA from 1 species
GACGAACGCUGGCGGCGUGCUUAACACAUGCAAGUCGAACGAUGAAGCCUUUCGGGGUGGAUUAGUGGCGAACGGGUGAGUAACACGUGGGCAAUCUGCCCUGUACUUUGGGAUAAGCCUUGGAAACGAGGUCUAAUACCGGAUAUGACUGGCCUUCGCAUGGGGUUGGGUUGAAAGUUCUGGCGGUACAGGAUGAGCCCGCGGCCUAUCAGCUUGUUGGUGGGGUAA